rnacentral:tRNA from 7 species
CGGGUGUAGCUCAAUGGUAGAGCCCCAGCCUUCCAAGCUGGUCACGUGGGUUCGAUUCCCAUCACCC